CCCCUGAGGUUUUUUCACCCCACCAGUCAUUUUGUUCCUUUCUUCUUCCCACCUCAUCCAAAAUAUCUGAUCUUAUCUGUAAAUCCAAGCCCACCACCUGCUCUCUCGACCCCCACCCUACAGUUUUGGUUAAAACAUGUCUCACCUCCCUUCUCCCUCUCAUAACCGCCAUAAUCCACUCCUCCCUCUCUACCGGUAUUGUUCCCUCCCUUUUCAAAACUGCAUCUAUUACUCCAAUAUUAAAGAAACCCGGCACUGAUCCCAAUAAUUUCAAUAAUAUUCGUCCCAUCUCAAAUCUUCCCUUUCUUUCAAAAAUCCUAGAAAAAAUAAUCUCUGUUCAACUCCAUGCUCAUCUCACCCUCAAUAGCCUCUAUCAGCUCUUCCAGUCUGGUUUUCGACCUGGCCACAGUACAGAAACUGCACUCAUAAAAAUCACUAACGACCUCCUCACUGCUGCCUAUACUGGACUUCUUGUCAUGAGCUGGGGUGAGUACUCGUCUCAUUAUUCACCACCUUUGAGCUUUGAUUGCAGGAGAGGGAGCAACAGCUGUUUCUCAUCAGCGGCCGGCUUUAUGAGGAGGAAGACCAGAAUAGAGCUCCGGACCCCACGUGACUCUCAGUUAGUAGACGCCAUUUUGGCAGGAAAAAAAGGUAAACAAACACGGAUGUAACCAUGAACGUGAACGGGAUCCGCUUGGAUUUUACUUCGUCAGAGUUUAAUUCACACUUUAAAACUGAAGAAAUCGUUUUAUAUAGUCAGAAAUUAAAUAGACUAAACAUCUCCGACCACCGUGCCCCUGGGAUACUUUUAAACAUGCCAGAAGCUGUUGGAGCGGACUUCUUACUGGACCUGGCCGGGGAACCCCUUGGGAAUUACCCGGAGGAGCUGGCUCCGGCGGCUGUGGAGAGGGAAGUCAGGGCCUCUCGACGCUACUGCCCCCGCAACCCGACUCCGGAUAAGCGGAUGAAAAUGGAUGGACAAAUAACAUAGAUUUACACGUAAGUAGUUUAAAUAGAGUGCUGUGCUGUUUGAAUGUAUAAACUGAACAAGAGUAAUCACUAGUUUGAUUGUUUUCCGUGAAUAAAAUAAAUAUGUCAGGCAGGAGUGUCUCAGGAUCUGUCUGAGAUCUGUCUCGGUGAGACAGAUAAUAGCAAUCCAAAGUGCUUUUAUGUGUGAUCUGACAAUUGAUCAACCAUUGCUUAAAAAUUAAAUACAGCUUAGCCGGUUAAUUGCUGUGAUCAUAAAACACGUAAACGGCAGCACGCAGAAAUCAUGAGGCAAUGUUUUAUGUGAUGUUUACUUGUUGCUGUGAGUAAUAAGACAGAAAAAGCCACGCCAAAAUAAGUUUAGGAAGCCCACUAAGAAUCGUAAUAAAAGCAUUUAAAAUAAAUACCAUACACAGGUGAGGAAACGUUGGUUUAAGUACCUGAUAUGAAGUGGUCGCUGCAUAAGUGAAAACCUUUACUCUCGGGAUCCCACAGUUUCAUUUUAGCCCGGUCACUAGCGCAUUUUUUUUACAAUCAUCCAACGUUUGCGGCGCUCCGGAUCUUCGGGAAUCCUGUAGAUGGCUCAUUCCUUAUGUCGUCCGCGCCUGUUCUGCAUCCUGGGGCACAACAGGAAUCUACCAUAUUUCCCGUUUGACUGAGUUUUCUGACAAUAACAAAUAGUCCAGCUGCCGGCUUCUGCCUGCCUAAUGGCGCGGUUUCGAUUUGAACUGUUGCAUACUGGGAAACGUGACGUCAACUCCCGGAGCUCUAUACGACGCCGGAUGAUUGCCGUUAACUGGUAGUCGCUUGCCCUCCCGAGUUUUUACUCUGUUUGCUCUUACAGUUUUGAAUUUUAGACUCUUUGGAUUAUUCGCUCAUGUGAUGUUUGAUACUCACCUCAGGUUCCUGGAUUCUUGGAUAACUCGCUCUGCUCCUGGAAGGAAAUCUCUGGUUCGUUCUUGUUUGUCUCCUCCGCCUGCCGACCCGCUCUCCACCUCGCUCACGCUCCCUCUCCGGAUCAAUAUCCUCGCUCACUGUCCGACGCAGUUUUCAUCUUGGACCGCUUCCCCAUUUUGGAUAUCACCCCGGCUCACUCCCCUCCAAACAACAACUCUUCUUCCGCAUAGUAAGUCAGCCUACAAAUAAGAUCUCCCGGAACUACAAGACCCAUACUCACCUCUGUUUUCCUGUAGACGCCGCUUCCUGAUUUUGGAUACCCACUGGACUUCAGUGCGCCCUUAGUUUCCCGUUAAAUAAAUAUCAUUUUACCUUUUACUAUCAAACCUGUCUCCGGUCUCUGAUUCUGCAUGUCUUGGGUCAAGCAAAUACCUCAGAACAUGACACUUCUCUCCAUUCUCAUCCUCCUUGACUUGGGUUCAGCCUUCGAUACCAUCUCUCACACCAUCCUCCUCCAUAGAUUGUCUUCCCUUGGCAUUUCUCAUACCCCGCUUGAUUGGUUCCGUUCAUAUGUCUCUGGCCGUACUCAGUUUAUUCAACUCAAAUCCUUCACUUCCCGUCCCUUCCCUGUCACUACUGGCGUCCCCUAAGGCUCUGUUCUCGGUCCACUCCUUUUCAUCACUUACCUUCUUCCCCUGGGAAAUAUUUUCCGUAAAUUUGACAUCCAUUUUCAUUGUUGCGCGGUUGACACCCAACUCUAUGUAUCCUCCAAACCCUCCUCUUCACUCCCUCCUUCCUCCCUCACCAAUUGUUUAUCUGAAAUCAAAGACUGGUUCACAUCAAACUUUCUCAAACUUAACAAUGAUAAAACAGAAAUGUUACUUGUCGGCACUAAAUCCUUACUAUCCAAAUACACUUCCUGUCGACAACUCCUUAGUUUCCCCCUCCCCUCAGGUCAAGAGUCUGGGUGUCAUCCUUGACUCCUCACUAUCCUUCCAGUCCCACAUAAACAAUAUUACCCGGUCUGCCGACUUCCAUCUACGUAACAUUAACUGCCUACGCCCCUCCCUUACUACUCACUAGGUCGCCAUUCUUGUCCACAGCCUCAUCACUUUCCGUAUUGACUACUGCAACUCUCUUCUCUUCGGUCUUCCUCACAAAUCCCUCCAUAAACUCCAACUUCUCCAGAACUCGGCAGCCCGCAUCAUUUCCAGAACUCCCUCCUUCCACCACAUCACCCCGUUCUUCAGCAGCUCCACUGGCUCCCAGUCACUUCCAGAAUCCAAUUCAAAAUUCUGCUAUAUAGCAAAGCCAUCCAUAACCUAGCUCCACCUUACCUCUCAGACCUCCUUCAUCCUUCAACCUCCACCCGUUCCCUCAGGUCCUCCUCCUCCAUCCACCUUUCUGUCCCACCUUUCCGUCUGGUCACUAUGGGGAGCAGGGCCUUCAAUCACUCUGCUCCCCAGCUCUGGAACUCACUCCCUCCUGACCUCCGUAACAUUGAUUCCCUCACUGUCUUUAAAACCAGACUCCAAACCCACCUGUUCCGUCUAGCAUUCCAAUAGUUACUCUCUUUUCUCCAAUCUGUCUGUUUGUUUUAUGCUGUUCUAUCUUUUAUUGUUGUGUAUUUUAUCUCUGUCUGUAAAGUGUCCUUGAGUGUUUAGAAAGCUGCUGUUGAAAUAAAAUGUAUUAUUAUUAUUAAAGAGCAAGUAACGUCUAAAUUAACUUUUUUUUUGCUGAUGAACUGUAUAAAUGAGUGUCUAAUAGUGUUUUAAAUGUGUGCAUUAUUUAUUUUAGCAUUUUGGUGCAUUUUUUUUAAAUUAAAAAUUCUGCCUAAAUACCACAGUAUAGCACCACCUUCAGCUUAAAACAUAGAAUUUGACUCAUUUUGAAUAACUUUUAGCCAAUGGCUAAAGAGUAAGAUACUACGUAAACCAGUAGAGUACUACGUAGCAGCUCUGUGUCAAAGUUAUAAAAGCAAUGAGCGUCUCGGCCACGCCUUGUGGCGAGUUGGGAAUUGGAUUUGCAAGCGAGCGUAGGAGGUUAGCCGUAGUUCAGCCUUAGCAUAUAGCGUUAGCAUAUCCUAGUCUUUAGCAUAGCUUUUAGUGUUAUAAAUACUUAUUUAGUGUUAGUUUGGCUGUUGGAUAUUGUAGUUUAGUUAGUGUUUGGCUGUUAGUGUAAUUGGGAAAGUAGUUCGGGUUUAGUGCUCCAUAUCGUGUUAGUAUGGGUGAGUAGGUGUAGUGUAGUAUGGUUGCGGUGGCUCUGUGGGCAUUUUACCCGCGAUUCUGCAUGUCUCCGUUUGAAGAGGGAGGCUGUGCCCACCGUGGCUCUUCCGCGAUUUAGAUGCAGCCCACUGACUCUGCUCCCCCACCACGGCGGGAUCCAGUCUGAGGUGAGUACGCUAAAUAAACGUUUUAACAUCUUCUAAAGACAAUUUCCUACCUAAAUGCAAAGUCUGAGAGACGUGGUUCACUUCCUUUAGCUAGUCAGUCGGCAAUUCUGCAUCAGUGGCUCUAACUGACGCCGCACUAGUUGACAGACAGCAUUACAGCGUGAAAUCCAGCUUGUGAGCAUAUGCGAGGAAUUCUGUUCAGGAGGUCGCAUUUCAGGCUCUCCACAUCAUGUGUGACUGACUUUUACGUUAUAACAACGAUCACACACUAAGAAUGUUAUAAAGUGCCUUUAUAGGACAGUUUCUUUUGUAUAUUAUCUGACUUUAUAAACUCCCAACAACAAUGUGCUUUUUUUUUUCAGGCUAAAUCUACCCAAGACACUGGCUGUCAGACUGAUUUAGCUGCAAGAAUGCACUUGUCCAGGCUGACGUGAAGCCAUACCCGUAGCAAAGGUGAAUUAUUUUUAAUAAUCUUCUAUGUAAACAUUUUAAUAUUACCUUCUAGUUUUAAUUUGUUUUACAGAUUAUUGUUACACGUGAUUUUAUGCUCUUUGAAACAUUUAUAAAUGUGCUGCUUAUUUGUUUUUACAUAGCCAGCCAGAAUGGAGUUCACAGCUGCAGUGUGUCUGGUGACACAGGGACCAUGAUGGAAAUUCAUCUUCCAGAAAGUCCCAGAGCAGCGUCCACACCCCUGAAAAGACCAAGGUGUGAGGUGUCUGCUGUUGAUUCCAGCUUCCACCUCAGUGACAGUGCAAGCUCAGUGAACUGUUCAAGGACACUCAGCAAAAUAUGGACUCUGCACCAUGAGGCAGGCACACGUUAAUAUUCUAUAAGAGCACAUAAGCAUGAGGAUGUCCUCACACACCUGUAACCUAUCAGCUCAUCUGGCAGAAUAGAGAGAGAAGAGUCAACACCACAUCUCCUGUUCCUGGAAAGCCUUCAGCCAUCCUUCGAUGACUGAGAACCUCCAU